AAGUCGGACGGUAGGGUGGUGCUUGCACUACCUGAGAGUGGCGAACGGGUGAGUAACACGUAGAUUAUCUACCUUUGGGAGUGGGAUAGCCUGUAGAAAUAUAGGGUAAUACCGCAUGAGGCCUGUUGAAGAGAUUUGGCGGGUGAAAGGAGCAAUUGUUCCGCCUGGAGAUGAGUCUGCGGUCCAUUAGUUUGUUGGUGGGGUAAUGGCCUACCAAGGCGAUGAUGGAUAGCCGGCCUGAGAGGGUGUACGGUCACACUGGGACUGAGACACGGCCCAGACUUCUACGGGAGGCAGCAGCUAAGAAUCUUCCGCAAUGGGCGAAAGCCUGACGGAGCGACGCCGCGUGAACGAUGAAGGCCGAGAGGUUGUAAAGUUCUUUUCUUGGUGAAGAAUAAAUGUAUGAGUGGAAAGCGUACAAGAUGACGUUAGCCGAGGAAUAAGCCCCGGCCAAUUACGUGCCAGCAGCCGCGGUAACACGUAAGGGGCGAGCGUUGUUCGGAAUUAUUGGGCGUAAAGGGCGUGUAGGUGGUUUUAUAAGCCUGGUGUUAAAAUCUCUGGCUCAACCAGAGUCGUGCGCUGGGAACUGUGAGACUAGAGUUCAGGAGGGGAAGCUGGAAUUCCUGGUGUAGGGGUGAAAUCUGUAGAUAUCAGGAAGAACACCGGUGGCGAAGGCGAGCUUCUAGCCAUGGACUGACGCUGAGGCGCGAAAGCGUGGGGAGCGAACAGGAUUAGAUACCCUGGUAGUCCACGCUGUAAACGAUGUGCACUGGGCGUAGGAUUCUUAUAGGAUUCUGUGCCGUAGCUAACGCGUUAAGUGCACCGCCUGGGGAGUAUGCUCGCAAGGGUGAAACUCAAAGGAAUUGACGGGGGCCCGCACAAGCAGCGGAGCGUGUGGUUUAAUUCGAUGAUACGCGAAGAACCUUACCUGGGCUUGACAUGGUGGUAGUAGUGGAGCGAAAGCGGAACGACCCUUCGGGGAGCCAUCACAGGUGCUGCAUGGCUGUCGUCAGCUCGUGUCGUGAGAUGUUGGGUUAAGUCCCGCAACGAGCGCAACCCU
rnacentral:rRNA from 1 species